CCAGGGACGACCCUGGCGCCUUCAUCAACUGGCGGGGACGGCCCCU
rnacentral:ncRNA from 1 species